ensembl:lncRNA
CAGGAGGGAGAAGGAAUCUGUGACUGGUGCGCACACGUGUGUGUCCUUACAGAUUAUUGCGUCAGGUCCAUGGGCCAGCGUGGUGUCAAGGUCCAGUAGGCACUUUGAAUUUAAAGGAGGGGUCCUUCCUCUCAGGUGAGAAGAACUGUGGUCCCAAGAAGGUUUUGUGAGAGCUGCUUACUGGACUGCAAAUUCCAGGAGGGCAGAAAGUGCGUCUGCUUUGUUUAUCACUGUGUAACCAGUUCCUAGCACAGUCCUGCAGAUGGGGUGCUCCAGACUACUUACUUGGUGAUCCAAGAACUUGACUACAGAGUUAAUCUGGUUU